GGGGGUACGGUUUCCGGAUAUUGGGCGUAAGCGCGCGCAGGCGGUUUCUUAAGUCUGAUGUGAAAGCCCACGGCUCAACCGUGGAGGGUCAUUGGAAACUGGGAAACUUGAGUGCAGAAGAGGAGAGUGGAAUUCCAUGUGUAGCGGUGAAAUGCGCAGAGAUAUGGAGGAACACCAGUGGCGAAGGCGACUCUCUGGUCUGUAACUGACGCUGAUGUGCGAAAGCGUGGGGAUCAAACAGGAUUAGAUACCCUGGUAGUCCACGCCGUAAACGAUGAGUGCUAAGUGUUAGAGGGUUUCCGCCCCUUAGUGCUGCAGCUAACGCAUUAAGCACUCCGCCUGGGGAGUACGACCGCAAGGCUGAAACUCAAAGGAAUUGACGGGGACCCGCACAAGCGGUGGAGCAUGUGGUUUAAUUCGAAGCAACGCGAAGAACCUUACCAAGUCUUGACAUCCUCUGACCGCCCUAGAGAUAGAGUCUCCCCCUUCGGAGCACAAUGUGACGUGGGGCGCGUGUGUCUCCUCCUCUCGUCUCGAGAUAUGGUGUUAUAUCUCCCACCGAGAGCGCCCCUCUAUCUCAUAUGUGCCCUCUUUAAUGUGCACUCUCUAGGGAGAGUGCCUGAGACAAACCAGAAAAGUGUGGAUAACAUCUCAUCUCCUCGUGCCUCAUGAGAUGUGCUAUACACGUGCGAUACUGUGCAUAACACAGAGGGGCGCGAACCCGAGAGGCAGCUCAUCUCCCAUAACAGUUCUCACAUCUCAUAGUAUACUCUGCCUCUCCUCUACGUGACUCUAGACUCUCUAGAUCUCGUAUAUCCAUGUGCCGCGGGAAAACACUUUCCCGGGCUUGUGUACACCCCCCCCUGUCACACCACAGAGAGUUGUGUCACACCCAAAUCCCGGUGGGAGUAACCUUUUUAAGAGCUCCCCCCUCCGAAGGUGGGAAAAAUGAUUGGGGUAUACAAAAAAACCGGGGGCAACACAAAAAAAAAAAGAAAGAAAGAGGAGAAAAAGAG
rnacentral:rRNA from 1 species